AGAGUUUGAUCCUGGCUCAGAGUGAACGCUGGCGGUAGGCCUAACACAUGCAAGUCGAACGGCAGCACAGGAGAGCUUGCUCUCUGGGUGGCGAGUGGCGGACGGGUGAGGAAUGCAUCGGAAUCUACUCUUUCGUGGGGGAUAACGUAGGGAAACUUACGCUAAUACCGCAUACGACCUACGGGUGAAAGCAGGGGACCUUCGGGCCUUGCGCGAUUGAAUGAGCCGAUGUCCGAUUAGCUAGUUGGCGGGGUAAUGGCCCACCAAGGCGACGAUCGGUAGCUGGUCUGAGAGGAUGAUCAGCCACACUGGAAUUGAGACACGGUCCAGACUCCUACGGGAGGCAGCAGUGGGGAAUAUUGGACAAUGGGCGCAAGCCUGAUCCAGCCAUACCGCGUGGGUGAAGAAGGCCUUCGGGUUGUACAGCCCUUUUGUUGGGAAAGAAAAGCAGCCGGCUAAUACCCGGUUGUUCUGACGGUACCCAAAGAAUAAGCACCGGCUAACUUCGUGCCAGCAGCCGCGGUAAUACGAAGGGUGCAAGCGUUACUCGGAAUUACUGGGCGUAAAGCGUGCGUAGGUGGUUGGUUAAGUCUGUCGUGAAAGCCCUGGGCUCAACCUGGGAACUGCGAUGGAAACUGGCUGACUAGAGUGUGGUAGAGGGUAGCGGAAUUCCUGGUGUAGCAGUGAAAUGCGUAGAUAUCAGGAGGAACAUCCAUGGCGAAGGCAGCUACCUGGGCCAACACUGACACUGAGGCACGAAAGCGUGGGGAGCAAACAGGAUUAGAUACCCUGGUAGUCCACGCCCUAAACGAUG
rnacentral:rRNA from 1 species